AGUGAACGCUGGCGGUAGGCCUAACACAUGCAAGUCGAACGGCAGCACAGUAAGAGCUUGCUCUUACGGGUGGCGAGUGGCGGACGGGUGAGGAAUACAUCGGAAUCUACUUUUUCGUGGGGGAUAACGUAGGGAAACUUACGCUAAUACCGCAUACGACCUACGGGUGAAAGCAGGGGAUCUUCGGACCUUGCGCGAUUGAAUGAGCCGAUGUCGGAUUAGCUAGUUGGCGGGGUAAAGGCCCACCAAGGCGACGAUCCGUAGCUGGUCUGAGAGGAUGAUCAGCCACACUGGAACUGAGACACGGUCCAGACUCCUGCGGGAGGCAGCAGUGGGGAAUAUUGGACAAUGGGCGCAAGCCUGAUCCAGCCAUACCGCGUGGGUGAAGAAGGCCUUCGGGUUGUAAAGCCCUUUUGAUGGGAAAGAAAAGCAGCAGGUUAAUACCCCGCUGUUCUGACGGUACCCAAAGAAUAAGCACCGGCUAACUUCGUG
rnacentral:rRNA from 1 species